rnacentral:rRNA from 1 species
CCCUUAGAUGUUCUGGGCUGCACGCGCGCUACACUGAAGCGUUCAACGAGUAUUCACCUUGCCCGGGAGGGUUGGGUAAUCUUUUGAAAACGCUUCGUGAUGGGGAUAGAUUAUUGCAAUUAUUAAUCUUCAACGAGGAAUUCCUAGUAAGCGCGAGUCAUCAGCUCGUGCUGAUUACGUCCCUGCCCUUUGUACACACCGCCCGUCGCUCCUACCGAUCGAGUGAUCCGGUGAAUAAUUCGGACUGCAGCACUGCUUGGUCUCCAGGCUUUGCAGCGGAAAGUUUAGUGAACCUUAUCACUUAGAGGAAGGAGAAGUCGUANCA